UACGAAGGGGGCAAGCGUUGUUCGGAAUUACUGGGCGUAAAGGGCGCGUAGGCGGCUUAUCAAGUCAGGCGUGAAAUUCCCGGGCUCAACCUGGGGGCUGCGCUUGAUACUGAUUGGCUUGAAUGCGGGAGAGGAUAGUGGAAUUCCCAGUGUAGAGGUGAAAUUCGUAGAUAUUGGGAAGAACACCGGUGGCGAAGGCGGCUAUCUGGCCCGUAAUUGACGCUGAGGCGCGAAAGCCAGGGGAGCGAACGGG
rnacentral:rRNA from 1 species